ensembl:rRNA 5S_rRNA 5S ribosomal RNA
GUUUAUGGCCAUACCACCAUGAAUGUGCCCUAUCUCGUCUAAUCUCGGAUGCUAAGCAGGGUCAGCCUGGUUAGUACUUGGGUGGGAGACAACCUAGGAAUACCAGGUGUUGUAGACG